UACGGGGGGAGCAAGCGUUGUUCGGAUUUACUGGGCGUAAAGGGCGCGUAGGCGGCUUGACAAGUCACUUGUGAAAUCUCCGGGCUUAACUCGGAACGGCCAAGUGAAACUGUCAUGCUAGAGUGCAGAAGGGGCAAUCGGAAUUCUUGGUGUAGCGGUGAAAUGCGUAGAUAUCUGGAGGAACACCGGUGGCGAAGGCGGCAUCCUGGACCGGCAUUGACGCUGAGGCGCGAAAGCUAGGGGAGCAAACGGG
rnacentral:rRNA from 1 species